rnacentral:tRNA from 1 species
AAAGGGAGACCUAAUUCAGGUAGGAGACGAAAAAAAAGUAGUCCCUACCAGGAAUCAAUCCCAAAAGGUCGGAGCGAGGCGAAAUUGGCUUUCAAACUAGGUUCUGGGUUCAAACAAGACCUGAAUCAGGAACAAGGGCUAUUAGCUCAGGUGGUUAGAGCGCACCCCUGAUAAGGGUGAGGUCCCUGGUUCGAGUCCAGGAUGGCCCGCCUGCACAGGUGGCAAAAACAAGAGAAGCGAGGAAUCAGCACCUUAUCUUACUGACAUAGUAAGAGAGAAUGCUGGCUCUGAGUAAAGAGUCCAGAGGAACCUUGAAAACUGCAUAGAGCUAGGUGAAAAAGCCAAAAAAGAAGACCGCAAG